AUUAGAUUGCAGCUCUGACUCAGAGCAGCGUGCGGAGGCUCGCAUUGUGAAUUUUAGCUCCAGAUAAACUUCAAGAACAAACCAGCAAUCCUGAGAGGACCCACAGACCCUCUGAAAAAAGCGGACUGUUCCUGCAACACCCAGGAGACACCCCAAAUACUAUGAAGAAUCUGAGGCACAAAGAGGUCAACUGGCUUGCCCAAGGGUACUUGGCAGGUCUCAAAAACAUCUUCUACCAUAUUGGAACAGAAAAAAAUGAAGACAAUGAGCAUAUCCUCUUACACAUGACUUCUAUUGAAAUGUUUCCAAAUCUUAAAUGCUAUAAUAUUUGCUUUGUUCCUUAUCAACUUUUACAAACAAAUCUUUAGAAACUGCUUUACAAAAAUAAUAUAUGUUCCCAUUUAUUUAUAUGUUCAUUGCUUACCUCCAUUCACUAGAAUGUAAGCUCCAUGAUGGGAGAAAUACUGUCAGCAUAUUUUCAUUUCAUUGUAUAUCCUUAAUACUUUGAGUAAUGAAUAGAUGAGUGAAACGUGUAGAAUUUAGUAAGUAUAAAUAUGCAAAAAUAAAACUUUCAAUUUAACGUACCCAUUUUAAAUACCGUAUAUAGUUUUUUUACAAAAAUGUGAUAAUGCUGUUUUGUAAUAAGUUCUUUUUUUAAAUUUUAACAAUAUAAAUGAACAUUUUUGCAUGUCAAUAAAUAUUUGUCUUUUUAAAUGUAUGGGUAACAUUUCCAUAUACAAAUAUGACAUAAUUUAUUUUUUGUUGUUGGGCAUUUACAUUGUUUUCAGUUGCUCUAUAUUAUAGGCAAUGCUUCAGUCUUUGCAUGUAUCCAUAACACUUCUCUUUGGCUACAUUACUAGAAGUAGAGUUUGCAUUUCAUGGAUUUUAAUUACAAGAAUUGCCAAGUUGUCUUCCAGAAAGAUGCUGCUAAUUUGUACAAUAAGCAGCAUUGUAGGAGAGGGUUCAUUUUCCUGAACUUUAACCUCACUAAUAUUUUCUUUCAUUAUAAUUCAUAUUGUUAUUUUAAAAUCUUCACAAAUUUGGUAAAAGUGGGAUCUUCUUUUAUGAUUUGCAUUAAUUUUAUUGCAAAUGAGCUUUUACUGUUUUCUUAUGCUUAUUAUUUAAUUUGUUUUAUUAAUUUUUCUCUUGGUACUCUUUCUUAUUAAGCUAUUAAUAGGACAAAGUAGAAAAUAACUAUUUCUCAAAUUCUUUUGAUUCGUAAGACAUCAAUUAAAAAAAAAAGAAACCCAAACCAGCAUGCCUACUUCAUCCUGUGUUGUGAGACAUGGCUAUGUGUGUCUAGGGUAUUCCAGUUUCCCGAAGCAUAGUAAGUGGAAAGUGACUUGGUAAAACAUAAAAACAGUAAGAUGGAUUAAAGCCAGACAAUGGAAGAGUUAAACUUUAUGCUAAUGAGUUAUGACUUGAAUCAGCAGGCAGUUACUAUGAAAGAAUGUACAAUUUAGCCAUCCCAAGUUGUUAUAUCUUGAUGAGUGAAUAGCUUACUACUUUUGCAGCAAUAUGUAGUUUUUAAAGUAAUUUUUCUGUUAACAGGAAGGGAUAAUUUGGACAGGGUAGUGGGAAAAAGAUCAGCUUAAAGUUUUUCUUACCUUAUCUAAUUUCUCCCACCCAGAAUUAAUGCCACUCUCCUUUCUGUUCCCUUGGUACUUUCUUCCAUUAUAGCACUAGCCACAUGCAAUUGCAGCACGUAACAUCAGUAUUAUUUCUGUAUGCAUCUGUGGUGCCUACUCUAAGGCACAGUCCAAAAGGGCCUUUUCUGUUUUGUGUGUUCCCAUCCUGCUGAAUGGAUGGUUUGGUUCAAUAAAGUCGUAUUAACAUCAGAAGACCGAAUUGCAUUUCUUGUCUUGUUGGCCAGAAAGCUGAUUCCUGUCCAUGAUUACUUGAAAUGUGGAUUUGGUUUAGCUAAUCAUAUCUUUUCUCAUUGUAGUUAACUAGAAAGAAGAAAUUACAGUAACAAGUAAUUGUUUCUUUAUCGUUGUUUAAAAGUUUAUUCUGAUUGAGGGCUGAAGUGCUUUUCUUACUCUGCCUUAUUAAACACCUAAAUUUUCUCUUUCAAAAUGUCAUUUUGUGAAAGGAUCAAGAAUACUACAUAAAUGAUAGAAUCUACUUUAUGGCACUGUGCUUGUAGAAAUGUUAUGCUUAGUUAAAAUUGAGAUACUCUAUAUGGGAGGAGAGCUCAUAUUGAUUUGGGGUAUAUAAUACAAAGUAAAAUGAGAUGAUAGAAAGAAACAAUGCAUAGGAAAGAAAACCUAUUGAUUUCUCUUCUCUUGAGCAUGAACCCACACAUAGCUACUCAAAUAUUUG
rnacentral:lncRNA from 10 species